CUUUGGUGUCACAAUGCUCCACUGUGAUGUCAGUACUCCACUGUGCUGUCAAAAUUCUGCACUGUGAUUUUACAGUGCUACACUGUGCUCUUACAGUG
rnacentral:miRNA from 1 species